CUUGAACAGGGAAAGGCUGAAGCCCACUUUGCAGCGAUCCAUGGGCAAGAGAGAACUGAGGAUUUUUAUCAAGAUUCUUUACUGUUGGAUUUGAUAGGAUCCUGUGGAUAGCUAAAAGCAGGAAGCGAAUCAAGAAUGACGAUUAAUAUGAGGGAAGACAGCAGUUGACGGUUUGCUGAGCUGUACAGUUCCUAGCCACCAAGGUACUUACAGACUAAUCUUUAAACAUUUAUUUUUUUGAAGACUGGGAAACUUACUUUCACUAUGUCUUAGAAUUUCAUAUUUGUUACUAUUCCAAUAGUAGCAGUAUCAUUUUAAAUCACUUUCAUAUACGAUAAGAUCUGUUAUUAUAAAUUAAGAUGUAUGAGAAUGUGAGAUUGAAUACCUAGGAUUAUAUAUAAUAAAGUAAAUAUUUAAGUAACUUUACAUAAAAAAGACUCACAAAAUAUCCUAUCAAAAUAGAAAUUGUUGUUAUUUUGUAAAUAUUUCUUUCAAAAGUGAUAUUUCAUGUUCACAGGACAUUAACACACAUUUUUGUUUCAUUUCAG
ensembl:lncRNA